AAUACGUAGGGUGCGAGCGUUAUCCGGAAUUAUUGGGCGUAAAGAGCUCGUAGGCGGUUUGUCGCGUCUGUCGUGAAAGUCCGGGGCUUAACCCCGGAUCUGCGGUGGGUACGGGCAGACUAGAGUGCAGUAGGGGAGACUGGAAUUCCUGGUGUAGCGGUGGAAUGCGCAGAUAUCAGGAGGAACACCGAUGGCGAAGGCAGGUCUCUGGGCUGUAACUGACGCUGAGGAGCGAAAGCAUGGGGAGCGAACAGGAUUAGAUACCCUGGUAGUCCAUGCCGUAAACGUUGGGCACUAGGUGUGGGGACCAUUCCACGGUUUCCGCGCC
rnacentral:rRNA from 1 species